AGAGUUUGAUCUGGCUCAGGAUGAAUGCUGGCGGCGUGCCUAAUACAUGCAAGUCGAACGAAGCAUCUUCGGAUGCUUAGUGGCGAACGGGUGAGUAACACGUAGAUAACCUACCUUUAACUCGAGGAUAACUCCGGGAAACUGGAGCUAAUACUGGAUAGGAUGUGUGCAUGAAAAAAACACAUUUAAAGAUUUAUCGGUUUAAGAGGGGUCUGCGGCGCAUUAGUUAGUUGGUGGGGUAAGAGCCUACCAAGACGAUGAUGCGUAGCCGGACUGAGAGGUCUACCGGCCACAUUGGGGCUGAGAACGGCCCAAACUCCUACGGGAGGCAGCAGUAGGGAAUUUUCGGCAAUGGGGGAAACCCUGACCGAGCAACGCCGCGUGAACGACGAAGUACUUCGGUAUGUAAAGUUCUUUUAUAUGGGAAGAAAAAUUAAAAAUUGACGGUACCAUAUGAAUAAGCCC
rnacentral:rRNA from 1 species